GAUGAACGCUGGCGGCGUGCCUAAUACAUGCAAGUCGAGCGAACAGACGAGGAGCUUGCUCCUCUGACGUUAGCGGCGGACGGGUGAGUAACACGUGGAUAACCUACCUAUAAGACUGGGAUAACUUCGGGAAACCGGAGCUAAUACCGGAUAAUAUAUUGAACCGCAUGGUUCAAUAGUGAAAGACGGUUUUGCUGUCACUUAUAGCUGGAUCCGCGCCGCAUUAGCUAGUUGGUAAGGUAACGGCUUACCAAGGCAACGAUGCGUAGCCGACCUGAGAGGGUGAUCGGCCACACUGGAACUGAGACACGGUCCAGACUCCUACGGGAGGCAGCAGUAGGGAAUCUUCCGCAAUGGGCGAAAGCCUGACGGAGCAACGCCGCGUGAGUGAUGAAGGUCCUCGGAUCGUAAAACUCUGUUAUUAGGGAAGAACAAAUGUGUAAGUAACUAUGCACGUCUUGACGGUACCUAAUCAGAAAGCCACGGCUAACUACGUG
rnacentral:rRNA from 1 species